GACGAACGCUGGCGGCGUGCCUAAUACAUGCAAGUUGAGCGCUGAAGGUUGGUACUUGUACCGACUGGAUGAGCAGCGAACGGGUGAGUAACGCGUGGGGAAUCUGCCUUUGAGCGGGGGACAACAUUUGGAAACGAAUGCUAAUACCGCAUAACAACUUUAAACACAAGUUUUAAGUUUGAAAGAUGCAAUUGCAUCACUCAAAGAUGAUCCCGCGUUGUAUUAGCUAGUUGGUGAGGUAAAGGCUCACCAAGGCGAUGAUACAUAGCCGACCUGAGAGGGUGAUAGGCCACAUUGGGACUGAGGAACGGCCCAAACUCCUACGGGAGGCAGCAGUAGGGAAUCUUCGGCAAUGGACGAAUGUCUGUCCGAGCAACGCCGCGUGAGUGAAGAAGGUUUUCGGAUCAUAAAACUCUGUUGGUAGAGAAGAACGUUGGUGAGAGUGGAAAGCUCAUCAAGUGACGGUAACUACCCAGAAAGGGACGGCUAACUACGUGCCAGCAGCCGCAGUAA
rnacentral:rRNA from 1 species